UUCGGCUAAUUCCGCCCAAAUCACCACGAAGCACACCGAAUGACCGAAGCCGCCAUGCUCUCAUCGUGUGUUCCCAAAUUUCUUUUCCCUCCAUCGUCCUCGAUCUGGAGGGAGUUUCGCUAGGAAACUCGUCCUCCAUUCGUCUGGGCAGAUUCAGUAGAUAGGCUUCCUCGAUCUAAAUUGUGUGAGAGAGAGAGAGAGAGAGAGAGAUGAUGAUAUAGAGAGAGACAGAGUCUCACAGGCUCACAGCCCCCUCUCUUCUUCUACCUCACCACCAUCGAUCGAUCCAUGGUGAUAGAGAGAGACAGAGUCUCACAGCCCCCUCUCUUCCUCCCAUCUCUCUCUUUUUUUCCCCUUUUCUCUUUCUCCAUCUCCCCUCUCUCUUUCGUUCUCCGCCGCCUCUUCGGCGAUCUCCGAAUAAAGCGGCGAUCUAUUCAUAGCUCAAAGGGUGGAGGAUCCUAUCGAAGUCGCGAUGAGAUCCCGUGAUUUCCCAUCCGAUCGGCGGCUUUUUGAUGGGAUCGGAGCGAUCGUGGUGUUUCCUAAGCUGAUUCGAAAAGGUUUCUGGCGGAUUCAACACUUUUCUCUGAUUUCGAUCCAUGAGCACACCAUACUCGGUUGCAAGAAAACAAAUGGUGACAAAAACUACUUCUGAGGUUCAGGCAGUGGCAUGGAACCGGCAUUCCCCUGAAAUCGUACAAAGUGGAUCUUUCGAUCAAUCGGUUGCCAUGGUAAGGAAUUUUUAAUUACAAAAAUAAAUUUUAAUUACGAUAAGAAAUUUUAAUUAUGAUAUUUGAUAAAAUAUAAAAGAGAAUUGUAUAGUCCGGUUUUUCAAAGAAUUCUUUUUAAUAUUAUUAUCAUAAUCCGUGGUGGGUCAGUUUUUCAAAGUUUUCUUAUUUAAUAUUAUUAUUGUCAUAAUCCGUGGUGGGUCUGGUUUUAAGUUACUUUAAUAUUCUUGUUUUCAUUUAUUAUUGUCAUAAUAUGGUUUUAGUUACUUUAAUAUUCCUGUGUCCU